UUCAGAAGUGUGCUCUGCCGUUGCUGUGUAUGUUUGCUGACGUUCAAACAACAUCCGUUCUUUAUCUCUCUGUGUUAUCCUCAGGAGAGUGACAUCAUUCAUGGUCACCUGGUUGAAAUAGGGUGCUUUUCUUAAGGGGACAUCAGAGGUGCCCAUUCCUG